CGGGGUGAGUAAUGUCUGGGAACUGCCUGAUGGAGGGGGAUAACUACUGGAAACGGUAGCUAAUACCGCAUAACGUCGCAAGACCAAAUGGGGGACCUUCGGGCCUCAUGCCAUAAGAUGUGCCCAGAUGGGAUUAGCUAGUAGGUGGGGUAACGGCUCACCUAGGCGACGAUCCCUAGCUGGUCUGAGAGGAUGACCAGCCACACUGGAACUGAGACACGGUCCAG
rnacentral:rRNA from 1 species